AUUGAACGCUGGCGGCAGGCCUAACACAUGCGAGUCGAGCGGAGGAAGGGAGCUUGCUCCUGGAUUCAGCGGCGGACGGGUGAGUAAUGCCUAGGAAUCUGCCUGGUAGUGGGGGAUAACGUCCGGAAACGGGCGCUAAUACCGCAUACGGCCUGAGGGAGAAAGUGGGGGAUCUUCGGACCUCACGCUAUCAGAUGAGCCUAGGUCGGAUUAGCUAGUUGGUGGGGUAAAGGCCUACCAAGGCGACGAUCCGUAACUGGUCUGAGAGGAUGAUCAGUCACACUGGAACUGAGACACGGUCCAGACUCCUACGGGAGGCAGCAGUGGGGAAUAUUGGACAAUGGGCGAAAGCCUGAUCCAGCCAUGCCGCGUGUGUGAAGAAGGUCUUCGGAUUGUAAAGCACUUUAAGUUGGGAGGAAGGGCAGUAAGUUAAUACCUUGCUGUUUUGACGUUACCAACAGAAUAAGCACCGGCUAACUUCGUG
rnacentral:rRNA from 1 species